rnacentral:rRNA from 1 species
AAUUUGGGACAAUGGGGGAAACCCUGAUCCAGCCAUCCCGCGUGUAUGAUGAAGGCCNNNGGGUUNUAACGUACUUUUGGCAGNGACNAAAAGGUAUCUCCUAAUACGAGAUACUGCUGACGGUAUCUGCAGAAUAAGCACCGGCUAACUACGUGCCAGCAGCCGCGGUAAUACGCAGGGUGCAAGCGUUAAUCGGAAUUACUGGGAGUAAAGCAUGUGUAGGCGCAUCGGAAAGAAAGAUGUGAAAUCACAGGGCUCCACCUUGGAACUGCAUUUUUAACUGCCGAGCUAGAGUAUGACAGAGGGGGGUAGAAUUCCACGUGUAGCAGUGAAAUGCGUAGAUAUGUGGAGGAAUACCGAUGGCGAAGGCAGCCCCCCGGGAUAAUACUGACGCUCAGACACGAAAGCGUGGGGAGCAAACA